rnacentral:rRNA from 1 species
UACGUAGGCAGCGAGCGUUGUUCGGAGUUACUGGGCGUAAAGCGCACGUAGGCGGAUCGUUAAGUCGGGGGUGAAAUCCUGGAGCUCAACUCCAGAACUGCCUUCGAUACUGGCGAUCUUGAGUCCGGAAGAGGUGAGUGGAACUCCUAGUGUAGAGGUGGAAUUCGUAGAUAUUAGGAAGAACACCAGUGGCGAAGGCGGCUCACUGGUCCGGUACUGACGCUGAGGUGCGAAAGCGUGGGGAGCAAACAGG